UCGUAACAAGGUUUCCGUAGGUGAACCUGCGGAAGGAUCAUUACUGAUUUGCUUAAUUGCACCACAUGUGUUUUUCUUUGAAACAAACUUGCUUUGGCGGUGGGCCCAGCCUGCCGCCAGAGGUCUAAACUUACAACCAAUUUUUUAUCAACUUGUCACACCAGAUUAUUACUUAAUAGUCAAAACUUUCAACAACGGAUCUCUUGGUUCUCGCAUCGAUGAAGAACGCAGCGAAAUGCGAUACGUAAUAUGAAUUGCAGAUAUUCGUGAAUCAUCGAAUCUUUGAACGCACAUUGCGCCCUCUGGUAUUCCGGAGGGCAUGCCUGUUUGAGCGUCGUUUCUCCCUCAAACCGCUGGGUUUGGUGUUGAGCAAUACGACUUGGGUUUGCUUGAAAGACGGUAGUGGUAAGGCGGGAUCGCUUUGACAAUGGCUUAGGUCUAACCAAAAACAUUGCUUGCGGCGGUAACGUCCACCACGUAUAUCUUCAAACUUUGACCUCAAAUCAGGUAGGACUACCCGCUGAACUUAAGCAUAUCAAUAAG
rnacentral:misc_RNA from 1 species